GAAGAACUCUGGAAUGAGUCUUUGCUAAAAAGACGCUAGCGUUAUGCUCGUAGGCGUCGCCCAAGGAUGAGGCCGCGACCGAUCAGGUUGUUGGUGAGGUAAUGGCUCACCAAGCCUUUUACCGGUGCGGGCCGUGAGAGCGGGAGCCCGGAGAUGGGCACUGAGACAAGGGCCCAGGCCCUACGGGGCGCAGCAGUCGCGAAAACUUUGCAAUACACGAAAGUGUGACAGGGCUAUCCCGAGUGCCAUCCGCUGAGGAAGGCUUUUACCCAGUCUAGAACGCUGGGAGAAUAAGGAGAGGGCAAGUCUGGUGUCAGCCGCCGCGGUAAUACCAGCUCUCCGAGUGGUGUGGAUGUUUAUUGGGCCUAAAGCAUCCGUAGCUGGCUAAGUUAGUCCCUUGUUAAAUCCACCGAAUUAAUCGUUGGAUUGCGGGGGAUACUGCUUGGCUAGGGGACGAGAGAGGCAGACGGUAUUUCCGGGGUAGGGGUGAAAUCCUAUAAUCCCGGGAAGACCACCAGUGGCGAAGGCUGUCUGCUAGAACGCGCCCGACGGUGAGGGAUGAAAGCUGGGGGAGCGAACCGGAUUAGAUACCCGGGUAGUCCCAGCUGUAAACGAUGCAGGCUAGGUGUUUGGACGGCCACGUGCCGUUCUAGUGCCGCAGGGAAGCUGUUAAGCCUGCCGCCUGGGGAGUACGAUCGCAAGAUUGAAACUUAAAGGAAUUGGCGGGGGAGCACCACAAGGGGUGAAGCU
rnacentral:rRNA from 1 species